rnacentral:rRNA from 1 species
GAUGAACGCUGGCGGCGUGCCUAAUACAUGCAAGUCGAGCGAACAGAUGAGGAGCUUGCUCCUCUGACGUUAGCGGCGGACGUGUGAGUAACACGUGGAUAACCUACCUAUAAGUCUGGGAUAACUUCGGGAAACCGGAGCUAAUACCGGAUAAUAUAUUGAACCGCAUUGUUCAAUAGUGAAAUACGGUUUUGCUGUCACUUAUAGAUGGAUCCGCGCCGCAUUAGCUAGUUGGUAAGGUAACGGCUUACCAAGGCAACGAUGCGUAGCCGACCUGAGAGGGUGAUCGGCCAAACUGGAAGUGAGACACGGACCAGAGGACUACGGGAGGCAGCAGUAGGGAAUAUUCGGAAAUGGGCGAAAGCAUGACGGAGCAACGCCGCGUGAGAGAUGAAGGUCUUCGGAUCGUAAAACUCUGUUAUUAGGGAAGAACAAAUGUGUAAGUAAAUAUGCACGUCUUGACGGUAACUAAUCAGAAAGCAACGGCUAACUACGUG